rnacentral:rRNA from 1 species
UACGUAGGGGGCAAGCGUUGUCCGGAAUCAUUGGGCGUAAAGAGCGUGUAGGCGGCCCGAUAAGUCCGCUGUGAAAGUCCAGAGCUCAACCCUGGGAUGCCGGUGGAUACUGUCGGGCUCGAGUCCGGAAGAGGAGUGUGGAAUUCCUGGUGUAGCGGUGAAAUGCGCAGAUAUCAGGAGGAACACCAAUGGCGAAGGCAGCACUCUGGGACGUGACUGACGCUGAGACGCGAAAGCGUGGGGAGCAAACAGG